GCUUAAAUAGUUUAUUUGUUAGUAAAAUGUCAAUUUGUGGGAUUGAAGAGGUGAGUUAUUACUUUAGGCA
rnacentral:tRNA from 1 species